GCUGGAAUGGCCGAGUCGUUAAGGCGAUAGAUUUGAAUUGUCAAUAUCUAUUACUCUCUGAGUGCGUAGGUUCAAAUCCUGCUUCCAGCG
rnacentral:tRNA from 3 species